rnacentral:rRNA from 1 species
CUGACUGCUAUCGGAUUGAUACUAAGCCAUGCGAGUCAUUGUAGUAAUACAAGGCAGACGGCUCAGUAACGCGUAGUCAACCUAACCUAUGGACGGGAAUAACCUCGGGAAACUGAGUAUAAUGCCCGAUAGAACAUUAUGCCUGGAAUGGUUUAUGUUCCAAAUGAUUUAUCGCCGUAGGGUGGGACUGCGGCCUAUCAGUUUGUUGGUGAGGUAAUGGCCCACCAAGACUAUUACAGGUACGGGCUCUGAGAGGAGUGGCCCGGAGAUGGGUACUGAGACACGGACCCAGGCCCUAUGGGGCGCAGCAGGCGAGAAAACUUUGCAAUGUGCGAAAGCACGACAAGGUUAAUCCGAGUGGUUUCUGCUAAAGGAACCUUUUGUCGGUCCUAGAAACACCGAUGAAUAAGGGGUGGGCAAGUUCUGGUGUCAGCCGCCGCGGUAAAACCAGCACCUCAAAUGGUCAGGAUGAUUAUUGGGCCUAAAGCAUCCGUAGCCGGCUUUGUUAGUUUUCGGUUAAAUCUGUACGCUUAACGUACAGGCUGCCGGGAAUACUGCAGAGCUAGGGAGUGGGAGAGGUAGACGGUACUCGGUAGGAAGGGGUAAAAUCCUUUGAUCUAUUGAUGACCACCUGUGGCGAAGGCGGUCUACCAGAACACGUCCGACGGUGAGGGAUGAAAGCUGGGGGAGCAAACCGGAUUAGAUACCCGGGUAGUCCCAGCUGUAAACUAUGCAAACUCAGUGAUGCAUUGGCUUGUGGCCACUGCAGUGCUGCAGGGAAGCCGUUAAGUUUGCCGCCUGGGAAGUACGUACGCAAGUAUGAAACUUAAAGGAAUUGGCGGGGGAGCACCACAAGGGGUGAAGCCUGCGGUUC